rnacentral:misc_RNA from 1 species
UCCUAGCUGUAAACGUUGGGUGCUAGGUGUGGGUGGACAUCGACCCCAUCCGUGCCGAAGCUAACGCAUUAAGCACCCCGCCUGGGGAGUACGGCCGCAAGGCUAAAACUCAAAGGAAUCGACGGGGGCCCGCACAAGCGGCGGAGCAUGCGGCUUAAUUCGAAGCAACGCGAAGAACCUUACCUGGGUUUGACAUCCUGGUGAAAGCCCUGUGAAAGCAGGGCCCUCCUUCGGGACACCAGGACAGGUGCUGCAUGGCUGUCGUCAGCUCGUGUCGUGAGAUGUUGGGUUAAGUCCCGCAACGAGCGCAACCCUUGUCCCGUGUUACUAACAGGUCAUGCUGAGGACUCUCGGGAGACUGCCGGCGUCAAGCCGGAGGAAGGUGGGGAUGACGUCGGAG